AACGAACGCUGGCGGCAGGCUUAACACAUGCAAGUCGAACGCCCCGCAAGGGGAGUGGCAGACGGGUGAGUAACACGUGGGGAACCUGCCCUUCACUCUGGGAUAACUCCGGGAAACCGGAGCUAAUACCGGAUACUCCUUGCGGAUCGCAUGGUCUGCUUGGGAAAGCUCCGGCGGUGAAGGAUGGUCCCGCGGCCCAUUAGCUUGUUGGUGAGGUAACGGCUCACCAAGGCGACGAUGGGUAGCCGAGCUGAGAGGCUGAUCGGCCACACUGGGGCUGAGACACGGCCCAGACUCCUACGGAGGCAGCAGUGGGGAAUUUUGCGCAAUGGGCGAAAGCCUGACGCAGCAACGCCGCGUGCGGGAUGAAGGCCUCGGUUGUAACGC
rnacentral:rRNA from 1 species